rnacentral:rRNA from 1 species
UGGGGAAUAUUGGACAAUGGGCGAAAGCCUGAUCCAGCCAUGCCGCGUGUGUGAAGAAGGUCUUCGGAUUGUAAAGCACUUUAAGUUGGGAGGAAGGGCAGUAAGCGAAUACCUUGCUGUUUUGACGUUACCGACAGAAUAAGCACCGGCUAACUCUGUGCCAGCAGCCGCGGUAAUACAGAGGGUGCAAGCGUUAAUCGGAAUUACUGGGCGUAAAGCGCGCGUAGGUGGUUCGUUAAGUUGAAUGUGAAAGCCCCGGGCUCAACCUGGGAAAUUCAUCCAAAACUGGCGAGCUAGAGUAGGGCAGAGGGUGGUGGAAUUUCCUGUGUAGCGGUGAAAUGCGUAGAUAUAGGAAGGAACACCAGUGGCGAAGGCGACCACCUGGGCUCAUACUGACACUGGGGUGCGAAAGCGUGGGGAGCAAACAGG